UCUCGGUUUCACCCCGGCGUAGCAUGUUUUUGUGGUGUGUUGUAGCUAAAGUCUGACAAAAGAGAGCAUCUGCUGAUGAAUAAAUGUCUGAAGAUGCGAAGGUCUGCUAUGGGUCAACAGAUGUUAACGAACAACAAAUGAUAUUCAAUCUUAAAAUGUUUAACAGAGGAUUUGAUACUAACAGUGGUUGGGCUAAUAGCAGAUGUUAGACUUACGACUGUUGAGUUACACCGUUUGAAAAUAACUGUUUUUGAAACUUCUGCUUGCCUAGAAAUACAUCUAUUG
rnacentral:lncRNA from 1 species